rnacentral:rRNA from 1 species
UACGGGGGGGGCAAGCGUUGUUCGGAAUUACUAGGCGUAAAGGGCGCGUAGGCGGUUCGCUAAGUUGGAUGUGAAAACUCUGGGCUCAACCCAGAGCCUGCAUCCAAAACUGGCGGGCUAGAGUUCUGGAGGGGGUAGCGGAAUUCCUGGUGUAGCGGUGAAAUGCGUAGAUAUCAGGAGGAACACCGGUGGCGAAGGCGGCUACCUGGACAGAAACUGACGCUGAGGCGCGAAAGCUAGGGGAGCAAACAGG